rnacentral:rRNA from 1 species
UUGAACGCUGGCGGCAUGCUUUACACAUGCAAGUCGAACGGUAACGGGGACCUUGCUCCGCUGACGAGUGGCGAACGGGUGAGUAAUGCAUCGGAACGUACCCAGUCGUGGGGGAUAACUUCGCGAAAGUUACGCUAAUACCGCAUACGUCCUGAGGGAGACAGCGGGGGACCUUAAGGCCUCGCGCGAUUGGAGCGGCCGAUGUCGGAUUAGCUGGUUGGUGGGGUAAAGGCCUACCAAGGCGACGAUCCGUAGCUGGUCUGAGAGGAUGAUCAGCCACACUGGGACUGAGACACGGCCCAGACUCCUACGGGAGGCAGCAGUGGGGAAUUUUGGACAAUGGGGGCAACCCUGAUCCAGCCAUGCCGCGUGAGUGAAGAAGGCCUUCGGGUUGUAAAGCUCUUUCAGAAGGAAAGAAAACGUAACGGUGAAUACCAGGUGUGGAUGACGGUACCGGAAGAAGAAGCACCGGCUAACUACGU